GCCAUUCAGAUUUAAAAGCACGACAUCGAGAGCCAAUGAAAUUAAACGAGGCAGUAUAGGGGCGGGGCUUCAUUUUCAGUUGCUGGAAAGCCUGCAGGACGUGUUUGAAAAGAAGUACUGAAAAAGAAUACGGAGCAGACGAAAAAUGAAAAAGCUUAUAGCCGUAAGGUAAGUGAGAGAGUCGGAGGGCCACAAGCGCCACUCCAUUCUGAUGUAUCCACUGAAGACAAAUAGAAGAGGUUCUGGAGCGCAAACGGAACCGAUCGGCUGCUGUGCACGAGGGAACCACGUCUCCAACGGUCGACAUGGCUGGGUCAGCAGUCUUCAUGACUUACUUAACGUUUGGUCAAGGAGCCACCAUCGAGAUAAAAGAGCCACAUGUGGAUCUGGAGCUGCAGGUUGCAGAUCGCUAAUCUAGACCUUUGAUAUGUGUGUAUCAUCCAGGACAUACACGAUCUUAGUUUUGCAUACCAGCUAUAGUUCCGAUGCUAUUCAUUUCUGUCAAUCAUUUCUAUAAACGUUUGUGUUUUUUUGGUCAAUAAGUUGUUAGAAGAACCAUAAGCUGCAGGAGACCAAACUUUUUUUUACACUAAGCAGCCAAUUCUGCUUUAGAGGCCUUGAUAGUAUGAGUGUACCAAUUAGUUUUAACAACAAUUCAAUUCGUAUCAUAAUCUGUGGUUGCCAAUCCGAUUCAUAGUUGAUCCAGGACAUCUUUAUCCAAAACGUCCAGCAGUUACUCAGAGAUAAAUAACUGGUACUGAACAGUGCCGGUGAAGUUUUCCAGAUUCCUUGUAUUUCUUCAAGAUAAUCAAUUAAAU